rnacentral:lncRNA from 1 species
CUAGAUUCAAGAUCGUGAAUGAUUAUUUCUGCUCUAAUCUUAACCAUACCUUACCGAUCUAACGGUCACCGUUUCCAACCUGUUGGGCCCAUGCUUCGUUGCGCCGAAGGUCUUGCGUGAAGAAGCAGCUUCGGCUGAAAUCGUCCCCAGGAAAUGGCCGAAGGUUCCUUUUUAUAGAGCUUCGGCGUUGCAAACCGACAUAAAGAUAGAAUGACCUUUUUAUCCUUAGAGGUCUAAGAUAAUGUUGUAAACUUUUGUAAAGGGCAUAAUUGUAAUUCGUCACAGGCUGCGUCCUGUGUCUAUAAAUAGAUGAACAGUACCCCCGUACUGUUCACACGCUGACUUGGCAUUUGCUUUUGCGUCACGCUUGUACUUUUUACCUUCUCUCAGGACCGAAGGUACAUUUGUAAUUUGAAAUCAUUUCUAUUUUUCCAUGUUAAUAAAAUAGAAAUGAUUCUAUGAUGAUGCUUAUAUUAUAUUUCAUGCUUUAUAUGAGUCCUUCGUCAUUACUUGUUAUGUUUACGAAGGUAUGUCUCUUAUGACCUUCGUCCGAAAUUCAUUAUUUCCCGAAGGGACAUAAUGCUUCGAAGGACGAAGGACUUUAACACUUAACACUUUUUAUGUUGCCUUGUUCUUAACUCUUAGCAUUUGAGAACAAGUCCCCAACAUUGGCGCCCACCUCCGGUGAACUCACUUCCACUUUUCUGAGCUGAUGGCUUCGUUCAACAAUCAAGCUGGAGUUGCUUCGGACCCGAAGCUGGUGCUCCCGAUCACAGGUGGCUCGUCCUCAGAGCCAGCUAACAAGAAGCAGAAGAAGGAAGCGCAGAGAAGAGUACAGCAUGUUGGGGUGCAAGGACCCUUCAUCAAAUCAAGAUGGUCUCACAUUCCUAUUACCUUCUCUCAAGAGGACCUUCAGCUCAAAGAUUACCCACACAACGAUGCCAUGGUUAUCUCUUGUGUUAUCAAAGGAUUUCUGGUUCACAAUGUCUUGGUCGAUACAGGCAGUGCAGCUGACAUCAUAUUUGCUAAAGCCUUCAGACAGAUGCAAGAGCCAGAAGAUAAGAUUCAUGAUGCUACACAUCCUCUUUGUGGCUUCGGAGGAAGACAGAUUGUAGCACUGGGCAAGAUCACCAUGUCAGUAACCUUCGGAUUCAUCAACAACACUAGAACUGAGCAAGUUGUGUUUGACAUUGUUGACAUGGAAUAUCCUUACAAUGCAAUUAUUGGUCGUGGUACUCUUAAUGCCUUCGAAGCAAUCCUUCAUCCUGCCUAUCUUUGCAUGAAGAUACCUUCGGACCAAGGGCCUAUUGCUAUCCAUGGAAGCCAGGAAGCUGCUAGAAGGGCCGAAGGAAGCUGGACCGACUCCAAGGCAAUCCAUAAUAUAGAUGGAACUGAAGCUUGUGAACAGUACAAAUUCAGAAGGGAGAAGGCAGCUUCAGCAGAUCAGCCGAAGCCCAUGCUAUUGUGUGAGGACAUAGCAGAGCAGAAGGUGCUGUUGGGCUCGCAAUUAUCUGAAGACCAGGAGAAAACCUUGAUAAGGUUUUUAUUCAACAACAAAGAUGUUUUUGCAUGGUCGGCUAAUGAUCUCUGUGGAGUAAAUCGGGAUGUUAUUGAACAUUCGCUCAAUGUUGACCCAUCCUUCAGACCCCGAAAGCAGAGGCUUCGGAAAAUGUCUGAUGACAAGGCCGAAGGGGCUCGCAAUGAAGUAAAAAGACUCCUCAGUGCAGGAGUUAUCAGAGAAGUGAAGUAUCCAGAGUGGCUAGCUAACACUGUUAUGGUGAAGAAGGCCAAUGGCAAGUGGAGAAUGUGUAUCGAUUUCACAGAUCUCAACAAGGCUUGUCCGAAGGACGAAUUCCCGUUGCCAAGGAUAGACUCUCUAGUCGAUGCAGCAGCUUCUUCAGAGCUCAUGAGUCUCUUGGACUGUUACUCAGGAUAUCAUCAAAUCUGGAUGAAAAAGGAAGAUGAGCCGAAAACUAGCUUCAUAACUCCAAGUGGCACGUAUUGCUAUCUUCGGAUGCCUGAGGGGCUCAAAAACGCUGGAGGAAGUUUCAGCAGAAUGACUGCGAAGGUUCUUCAGUCUCAAAUAGGCAGAAAUGUGUUGACCUAUGUUGAUGACAUUAUCGUCAAAAGCACGAAGCAGGAAAAUCAUAUUGUUGAUCUGCAGGAGACCUUCGCCAGCUUCAGACAAGCUGGUUUGAAGCUGAAUCCAGAGAAAUGUGUCUUCGGAGUAAAGAAGGGUAAAUUUCUUGGAUGCUUGGUUUCAACAAAGGGAAUCGAAGCUAAUCCAAAUAAAAUCGAAGCUAUACUUCGAAUGGAGCCACCAACUACAAGAAAAGGGGCCCAAAGAUUGACAGGAAGGCUGGCAUCUCUCAACAGAUUUAUAUCCAGAUCAGCAGAAAGAAACUUACCAUUUUUCGAGGUGCUGAAGUCAGCCGAAGUCUUUCAAUGGGGCCCAAGUCAACAAAAAGCCUUCGAAGAGUUGAAGCAAUACUUGAUAGAUCUCACAACAUUAACUCCGCCAACGCCAGGGGCUCCUCUGUUGUUAUAUGUGGCAGCUUCGCACUCAGCAGUAAGUGCGGCGCUUGUCCAGGAGAAGCUUUAUGGCCAGCUUAAGAAGCAAGUUCCAGUGUAUUUUGUAUCUGAGGUCCUUAGUGUCUCAAAGAAAAAUUAUACAGAGCUGGAGAAGGUAUUAUAUGCCGUUUUAAUGGCAUCCAGGAAGCUUCGGCAUUAUUUUCAGGCAUACAAUAUCAUUGUUCCUUCUUCGCAGCCGUUGAAGGAUAUAAUGAGAAAUAGAGAAGCUACUGGACGGAUUGGGAAAUGGGCUGCAGAGCUCAACGAAUUUUACAUUGAUUAUGUGCAUAGAUCUUCGAUCCAGUCUCAAGCAUUGGCAGAUUUCAUUGCCGACUGGACGCCAGGGGCUCAGGAUGAAGAAGCAAAUAAAGAUGCCGAAGUGUGGACAGUGUUUUGUGAUGGCUCUUGGGGAAUCUUCGGAGCAGGUGCAGCUGCUGUGUUGGUUUCACCAUCCAAGGUCAAAACUUGUUAUGCAGCAAGACUUGAUUUCAGCUGCACGAACAAUAUUGCUGAGUACGAAGCCCUGCUUUUGGGCCUUCGGAAAUUAAAGGCAAUGGGAAUCAGAAGGGCAAUUCUUAAAACUGAUUCCCAGGUGGUUUCGGGUCAUGUUGACAAAAGUUGCAAGGCUAAAGAUCCGAAGCUUGAAAAAUAUCUAGAUACGGUCCGAAGGAUCGAAGCAUCCUUCGAAGGAUUCUCUGUCAAGAAUAUUCCUCGAGGACAAAAUGAGCAUGCUGAUUUGCUAGCUAAGUCUGCGGCACAGGGGCUGCCGUUACCUUCGGAUGUGUUCUUCGAAACAAUAAAGGCACCUUCAGUGGAGCUCCUUGAAAGAGCAGUCCUCAACAUAUCUCCUGUUUACAGCGAAGAUUGGAGAACUGAAAUAAUCUCUUACCUUCAGGGUAAGUUCCUUUCAGAUGACGAAGCUUACAAUAAAAGAAUAGAGGCAAGAGCUCGUCCGUAUGUCAUGAUAGAAGGGGAAUUAUACAAACAUGGAGUUUGCGCUCCGCUGCUCAAGUGCUUAUCUAGAGCCGAAGGUAUAGAGUUGAUGAAAGAGAUACAUGCAGGCCUGUGUGGAUCCCACAUCGGAUCCAGGCCAUUACUUGGGAAAGUCUUCCGCCAAGGGUUUUAUUGGCCGAAGGCAGCUUCGGAUGCGGCGGAGUUAGUGCAAAAGUGCGAAGGUUGUCAGAAAUGUGCAAGAGAUCAAAAACAACCUUCGUCUUUGACACAGCUGAUACAACCCAUCUGGCCAUUGCAAAGGUGGGGCCUUGACUUGUUGGGUCCAUUACCACCGGCUCAAGGGAAUCUAAAAUAUGUUAUAGUGGCUGUGGAGUAUUUUUCCAAGUGGAUUGAGGCGAAGCCAUUGGCCACAAUAACUUCGGCCACUGUCCAAAAGUUUUUCUGGCAGAAUAUUGUCUGUCGCUUCGGGGUACCGAAGGCAAUCACUGUAGAUAAUGGAACGCAGUUUGACUCCGAAGCUUUCAGAAAUUUCUGUGAUCAAAUUGGAACGAAGAUCCAUUUUGCAUCAGUCAGGCAUCCGGAGUCAAAUGGGCUCGUUGAAAGGGCCAACGGCAUUAUAAUGACAGGAAUAAUGAAGUUAAUCUUCAAUCAACCCAGGGGAAAGUGGCCAGAUCAGUUAAUCAAAGUGGUGUGGAGCCACAAUACAACAACAUCAAGGUCUACAGGCUUUACCCCAUUCAAAUUAUUAUUCGGUGACGAAGCAAUAACUCCGGAGGAAGCAAAAGCUGGAUCAAUAAGAGUAGUAGCUUCGGCAGAAUCAGGUCCCGAAAAUGCUUGCCUUGUGGAAAAGGAUGCUUUAGAAGGGAUCAGGCUUCAGGCCGUGGAGAAUAUCAAUAAAUAUCAGGCUGAAACAGUUAAAUGGCGAGAUAGAAAAGUCCGGCUAAAAAAUAUUGAGCCGGGACACUUGGUGCUUCGGAGAGUGGCUAACCCAGAUACAGUGGGUAAGCUACAGUUGAAAUGGGAAGGACCAUUCUUAGUAGUAUCUUCGUCAAGGCCUGGAUCAUACAGAUUGAAGGACAUGGAUGGCAACGAAAUUCCAAGGUCUUGGAAUGCGGAUGAGCUUCGGCGAUACUAUGUAUAACAUGAUGUAAUUUUUUAUGUUUUUUCUUUUCUUUUUCAUGGCACCCUUUUCCUUUCCGAAGGGGGAGAAAGGUUUUUAAUGGGGCCAUCAUGUGUAAUUUCCUUUUUUAGUCUUAUAAGAGCAAAAUCCCCCAAAAAAUGUAAAUGUAACAGCUGAGAACGCACCAUCGAGUGCAGAAACUGAAAAAGAAAAAAGAGAAGAAGCUCCAAAGACGUUCCUAAGGGAAUGCAGAGCUUAUACCGCCUAAGUAAAAGGCGAAGAAACUCCAAAGACGUUCCUAAGGGAAUGCAGAGUUUAUACCGCCUAAGUAAAAGACGAAGAAGCUCCAAAGACGUUCCUAAGGGAAUGCAGAGCUUAUACCGCCUAAGUAAAAGGCGAAGAAACUCCAAAGACGUUCCUAAGGGAAUGCAGAGUUUAUACCGUCUAAGUAAAAGACGAGGAAGCUCCAAAGUCGUUCCUAAGGGAAUGCAGAGCUGAUGUGUGGUUGAUUCCAAGGAAAUAAUGGUUGAGUGUGGCUUCGGUUAUAUGCUUUGGACAUUCAUUCGCACAUUACAUCAUAGCAUUUGCAUUCAUAAGCAUUCAUUCAUAGCAUUUGUGUUCCUAAGUGGUUGCUUCGGCAAAAGGAAGAAGUGGUCUUUUAUGUUUCGUCAUGUACAAAAAGAAAAAGCUUCGGCAAGAAGAAGAAGCGGUCUUUUAUGUUUCGUCAUGUACAAGAAAGAAAAAGCUUCGGCAAGAAGAAGAAGCGGUCUUUUAUGUUUCGUCAUGUACAAAAAAGAAAAGCUUCGGCAAGAGGAAGAAGCGGUCUUUUAUGUUUCGUCAUGUACAAAAAAGAAAAGCUUUGGCAAAAAGAAGAAAUGGUCUUUUAUGCUUCGUUGUGUCCGAAAAGAAGGGAAGGUGUUUUUUCGCCUUCGGCUCAAAAUACUGAUUUCGUCCACAUCAAAGCGUCUCAAUAAAAGGGUAAGAAUAUAUUACAAGGUAUGAACAAAGUUCCUUGAGAAUAGAUUAAUUGUAUUUACAAAAAGUUGUUACAAAUUCUCCUGAGUUUUUUCUAGUCUACUCCUAAUAAUCUUCGUCAGGUUUCUGCUUCGGCGGCAUAUCCUUUAAGUAUCACCUUCAGCUUCGUCAUCCUACAUGAAUCAAGGUAUCCCGAGUAAAAAUCAAGUGUGAAGGAGGAGGUAAGUACAAAGUAUGAUUUCUUACUGGUUCAAGAUGACUUCGAGCUUCGUCCCCAGCCUUCUCUCGCCCGCCUUUUGUCCAUAUCAUUUUUAUGAAUCUAUUUGAGAUGCUCCGGGCGAGGUCAGGAAUGUCGUCGAGAAUUGAUGGAGACAGGGCGAAGUUGGGCCUGUUGACAAUCUUUCCAUGCUCGCAGCCAGCCUUCAGGAAUGCUGCAGCAGUACCCCGAGAAGCUACCCAGGCACAGAAGUCACCAUGCCCAGCUAUAACUUCGUCAAGUUCUUCAAUUUCAGCUUCGAUAUGAUCGAAGGCUUUUGGUAAAUCUUCAUCCGAAGGGGUAAAUUUCCCGCUGCUGGCUCCAACUGAGUAAAAGAUCUUCUUUAGUUGUUGGAUACAAUUGUUGCUAAAAUUCAAACAUUUAUCCUGAAGGCUUGUUAAUGAUUUCUUCAAAUUUGAGUUGGCUUGGACUUCGGCUUCAAGUUUCGAGUCAAGUUUUAGCUUCUCUUGUUCAAAUUGUUUUGAUUGGCAGAGAAGCUUCGAAUUCAAUUCUGCUACUUUGGCUUCAGUCUCUGCCAGCAAGCCUUCGGUUGAUUGAAGUUCGAAGUCUUUCUUUUCAAUAAUAGCUGAUUGUUCUUUUAUCUUGCUCUCUAAAUUUUCAAUUAUAGCUUCGUGCUUUUUAUCUUCUAGAUCUUGCUGCAUCCUCAAAGCUUUGCUUAGAAGCAUGCUCUGCAAAUAAACAACCUUCGUUAAAAAAUAUUGCCAUUAUUAAAAAACAAUAGAAGUUAGAGAGAAGGAUGUUUACCUUGAAAUUUGAAUAAAAUAAGCUGCCGACGAUAUGUUGUCGUCGGUAGCGGCUGAUGUCUGUCUCUAGUUUCGGAAAACCGAUACUCUUUGAUAGAGUACCGAUGACCUUAGCCCCAGCUGAGUCCCGGAUGCAGCCCAGUUUUUCAUCAUCAAUGCCUCCAAAUAGAAGAGCUCCUGGCUUGUAUCCGCAAGAUUUGGCGUAUUCCUUAAGCUCUUCUUUUUCGGCCUUCGACAGUUUUUGCCCGACUAAAUUUUGAAAUGAGUAGGCUUCGUCGUCCGAAGUGUCUUCGGCUAUUUCUUUCCCUUUCCCAGGCACUGUGGCCAUGGUUUCUUCAGCAGUGGUGGCAGCUUCUUCUGCAGCCAUGUCUGUUAAAAUUUUGUUGAUGUCUUCAAUAGUAGAUUCUAAGUUUACAUCUUCGGCUGUAGCGGCUUCGGUAGCCGUGACCUCCGAAGGUGCGACUUCGACAUUUUCUGUGCCCACAACAGCUGGUGUUUUCUGGAUUGACGCCCUCGGUGGCGUCUUGUCAAUAACUUCUGUUACGGCAAUAAUUCUUUGCCUUUUCGCUUUGGCUAUCUUCGUUUUUUCCGGCUCCGCCACCUUUUGAAAAAGCUUCGUCAGUCGAGGCCCUAAUGGACUUAGCUUCGUGGGCAUGGGUUCAGUCAUUACCUUUAGAAUUUCCUCCACGUCGCUAGUAGAAGGUGGUGUGGGGGUCCCCUCUUCUUCGGAUAGUUUUCGCUUUGGAGUUGAUAUUUUUCUCUUGACAAUUUUCUUCUUUUUUGGUGGUUGUUCUUCAUCCUUGUUUAAAGCUUCGGCCGCUCUUUUUCUUCUCUGGCCCUCAGCACCCUUGUUCAGCUGCGCAUAAUCAGGAUAUUCGAAACCCAGUGCAUCAAGCACUCGGUUCAGCCUUCGCUUCGGACGGGUGCCGAAGGCUGCUGUCAUCAGUUGAUCUUCCUUUUUCGAAUAAUUUCCAAGAAUUUCAUUACACAUCACCUCAACUGUAUCCAGCCACUCUUGGCAGGGCUUCUUAAAAUAUUUCUUGAAUUUGAAGUGGUAAGGAAGCCGGACAAGAUCCCCUUCCUUCUUCUCCCCCUUUAACUUUGGCAUUUCCCAUUUUUUCAGAGUAGGGAAGACUCUGAAUGCUAAGAAUUCUUGAACCAGAUCCCUGGUACCAAUAUGCUCUGCAACGAUUCUGAAUUCAUCCAUUGCCCGUUGAGUUUGACCCUCUGGUGUCAUGUUGCAGUGGGGUCGGGUUUCUCCAAAAGUUAGCUCGAGUGGACUUUGCACAAGCUUCUCCUUGUCCUCAUCAACCUUGACAUAGAACCAUUCUGAUUUCCAGCCUGCCGGCCAUUUGCUUCGGUAGCUGAUUACAGGAAACUUUGCGGUUUUCCGGUAGGCAAAAUUGUAGCAACCGAAGUUUUCAUGAAGCCCAUCUUUUCUGGCCUUUGUUUGAUAAUGCAAUUCAUGAACUCGACAGAAACUGUCAGCAAAAGGCUCCACUGCUUGGCUUCGGAGGGCCCAAAUAUAAACGCUAAGCCUAACGAUAGCGUUAGGAGUUAACUGAUGAAGGUAGAUGCCAAACCUCUUCAAUAUCUCCGCAACAAUCUCGUGAACAGGGAAUCUUAGCCCAGCCUUUAAAAAGCUUUUGAAGAUGACAACCUCGUCCUUCUCUGGCUUCGGGGUGGUCUCUUCUCCCCCGAAGCGAAGUAGCUUCUUCUGAUCUUCACUGAAAAAACCUGCUUUCACCAUCUUGGCGAGAUCAACCUUUGAAACAGUCGAUUUUCCGAAGUCUAGGUGGCUGGGUUUGCUGGGCAUGGCAAUACGGUAGUCAUCUUCGGAGUCGGUUUCUUCAAUGUUCCCUUCUCCUUCGGCAGCUGUCGGGUUUGCUUCGGCAGCAGGCAUUUCUUCCGCAGUCACCAGUCCGGAGCGCUGCAUCGCUUCGGAGAUGGGCACAGUCUCCGAAGCUUCAGUUUCGUCCCCCUCACGCUCAACCCUAGCUGUAGAGCGAACUCUGGCCAUUUAAUUAUGAACUUGUGAAACUUUGAUACUUUUUUCUCCGAAGCAGGCUUCAAGAUGGAGCUUCGUUCAAAUCUGACAAACAAGCUUCGGUGAUGGUUAAAAAUUUUGGCAGCAAAACAGUGCAAAUAGCAGUAAAUGCUGUGGUAACUUCACACCUACUCGUCUGUUUAUAUAGUGCUGCAGGUAAGAAGGCGAAGCGGCAGGGUUUUUACACCAGGCGGGCAGUAACUUGUACUCGCUGCGCAGUGGACCGCAAAGACCAAACAGUGACUCUGCAAGGUGGGACCGACACGAUCUCGGGAAAUGAAUCGUUUCUCGGCAACGAGCUCAGGGAAGGUGUUUUUUGGACCUUCGGCUUCCCGAAGCUUGAGAGGAUUUUUUCACGGUUCAAGCUCGUUACGAAAAACGAUCUAGCGCCGCGAAAGGGGCUACUGUUGGGCCCAUGCUUCGUUGCGCCGAAGGUCUUGCGUGAAGAAGCAGCUUCGGCUGAAAUCGUCCCCAGGAAAUGGCCGAAGGUUCCUUUUUAUAGAGCUUCGGCGUUGCAAACCGACAUAAAGAUAGAAUGACCUUUUUAUCCUUAGAGGUCUAAGAUAAUGUUGUAAACUUUUGUAAAGGGCAUAAUUGUAAUUCGUCACAGGCUGCGUCCUGUGUCUAUAAAUAGAUGAACAGUACCCCCGUACUGUUCACACGCUGACUUGGCAUUUGCUUUUGCGUCACGCUUGUACUUUUUACCUUCUCUCAGGACCGAAGGUACAUUUGUAAUUUGAAAUCAUUUCUAUUUUUCCAUGUUAAUAAAAUAGAAAUGAUUCUAUGAUGAUGCUUAUAUUAUAUUUCAUGCUUUAUAUGAGUCCUUCGUCAUUACUUGUUAUGUUUACGAAGGUAUGUCUCUUAUGACCUUCGUCCGAAAUUCAUUAUUUCCCGAAGGGACAUAAUGCUUCGAAGGACGAAGGACUUUAACACUUAACACUUUUUAUGUUGCCUUGUUCUUAACUCUUAGCAUUUGAGAACAAGUCCCCAACACAACCCAUGUCAUCUUCUCCUACCAGCCACUCAGCACGGCGGCGCAGUCCACCACGGCGGCGCGCCAAGACAGCACAACGGCGCCCUGCCUGCCGCGCAUAAUCCCCCAAUUUCCUAAUCGAGCGGAGCUACACGAUCCAGGGAAUACUACGAAUCUAAAGGGAGAGCCCUUACCAGCGAUUAUGCCGCAGGGGCAUGCCCCCACGAAGCAGGGUGAGGUCGCGACGGCCCAUGACUUCGGCGAGGAAUCACCCAACUCCGGCCACUCCGCACAGGCACCACACGGCAAACGGUGAAUCGGUGACGCGCACAGCGGCUUCCUCCCCGGUGCUUUCUCUCACGCGACGAGGGUGCACGCACGUACCCAGGUGGACGCGUAUGGCCCGGCGGCAUCACUCCCACCCGAGCGAACAGCCGAGGCCAUGCGGCUUCACAUGCAGGCAUCGGCGCAUGUACUCUCACUCUUCCUCGCUUGCCAAUGGCGGCAUCCUGCGCUGCGUUUG